rfam:Anaerococcus prevotii ACS-065-V-Col13 contig00014, whole genome shotgun sequence.
GUUAAUCUUCAGGGCGGAGUGCAAGUCUCCACCGGCAGUAAAGUCUGCGAGCGUAAGCUGAAUCGGUGAAAUUCCGAUACCGACAGUAUAGUCUGGAUGAAAGAAGAGUUUU